UACGUAGGGUGCGAGCGUUGUCCGGAAUUACUGGGCGUAAAGAGCUCGUAGGUGGUUUGUCGCGUUGUUCGUGAAAACCGGGGGCUUAACCCUCGGCGUGCGGGCGAUACGGGCAGACUUGAGUACUGCAGGGGGAGACUGGAAUUCCUGGUGUAGCGGUGGAAUGCGCAGAUAUCAGGAGGAACACCGGUGGCGAAGGCGGGUCUCUGGGCAGUAACUGACGCUGAGGAGCGAAAGCGUGGGGGAGCGAACAGG
rnacentral:rRNA from 1 species